rnacentral:rRNA from 1 species
AUGGAGAAGUGCAGAUCGGUGCCGCACGAGCACGCCACGGCGGCGUACUAUGGGUGCGGCGGCGGGUACGACUACGAGGACGUGAGCCGGGGCACGUCGGUGAAGUCGUACAGCUUCAACGGCCCCAGCGCCGGCGAGGACCCGGAGGCGAAGCGGCGGCGGCGGGUGGCGUCCUACAACGUGUUCGCGUCGCAGGCCCGGCUCAAGUCCUCCGUCCGCGGCAGCUUCAAGUGGCUCAAGUCCAAGCUCUCCGACGUCCGCUACGGUGGCCUCUGA